CUGCAGAGCUCCUCUCCAGCAGGUCAUCCUUUAAUUAGUACUGAUGCAUGCAGUUAUUCCUCCCCACGUGCAAGACUCUACACUUGCUUUUGUAAAACCACGUCAGGUUCCUCCCUGCCAAAUAUCCCAUGUGUCAGCCAUGCCUCCCAGCUUUGUAUCAUCAGAAAACUUGCUGAGGGUGGACUCUGUCCCUUCAUCCAGGUCACUGAUGAAGACGUUGAAGACUGGACCCAGCAAUGACUCACACAUAUCUUUUUAAAAAUGUGAUCCUAAAUUCUGAAUGCAUGACUGAUGCAAUGAGUCUGAGAACAACAAGUACUAAGGAAUUUAUACAGCAGUGCCUUUACAGCAAUUUACCAUUGCUUGCCUGCAUUCAUAGAUAUCCAAAAAGCAGCUUUAUUCAUCCUUUUAUUAAUACAGGCAAUGAAUAUUUCAUAUACUAAAUAAGAUUUCCUGGCCUGGGAAUUUUAGGAUGCUUAAGAGUGGUUCAGAUGAAGAAACAGAAGGAUAUAGAAAUAAAAGGCAUUCUUCCUUAGGCUGUUAAUUACAUCAUUCAGAUUUUUAAAUUUCUCUCCUAGAAAUCAAUUUCUUUUUCCUCUUAUAAUUUAGAGAUUAUAUAAAACAAAAUAGAAAUACUAGCUUCAAUUCAGAAAGAAAAAAAUUACAGGUCUGGACUAUUACAUCCCUGUUCUGAGAUCCUGUUACACUGUUUACCAUCACAAAACAAAGGCAGUCUGAUACAGCUUGCCUUUUAUAAAUCGACUGGAUUGGUUGUUAUGUGGAACUUGGUUGUUAUGUGGUACAACAAGGUAAACAUUUACAGAUUCUUCAAGUAAGGUGACUUCCACACAGUUCAAGAAAAGGGAUUAAAAAAACUCCGCUCUUUCCAGUCUCCCACACAUACAUCACCAUCCUAAUGGAACUCUGAGCCCUCAAAAGUUCUUUCAGACAAGUUGAUCCAGUUAUCCACCUAGUAUAAAGCUUCCUUAUGCUCAGAUAAAUCAGAGAACACCCACUCAAGUCCUCGCUUAGAAAUAUCAGUUUUCAGAAUUACUCUGAAACAACAAUCAGAAAGAUCCUAUCUGUUUUGCUCUGCUGAGGCUUCAGUUCUGUUACAGCAACAACAGGAGCAAAGCAAUGAAAAUUUCAACAUGGCAUCCAACAAAAUGUUACAAGUAGCUAAAGCAGCAAGGGACUUUAACAGCUUUAACUAAACAACUUAGCAACACGGAAAGGCUUAAAAAACAGAAGCUUGUAACUUAGGACAUUUGAUUUGAAAAGUACCUUUUCAAUUAGUAACAACUACUGAAACUCCUUUAGUUACGUAUAAUCAAACCUGAUGACUGUAUUCACCUCAAUCUAGAAUUUUGCAUGGCACAAAUACAAGAAUGCUUCAAGCUACAAAUUAAGUAUGCCAGAAGUAUUAACAAAAAACAAUUGCAAUAUAUUAUAAUGUGAAUUACUUGCUUCUGUUUGAUUGCUUGCCAUCACAAAAGUAUUCCUGGAAUGUUAGCACACCAUAUGUCACAGUUUGGCCUGGUUCAGCCUAGUUCCAUGACAAGGGGGUGAAGGGACUCCCAAACCCACACCCUGGAAAAGGAGGGAUCAGGGAGAGGAGGUGAAAAAGUCAUUUUCCAGGUUCCUCUCAAUGGCAACCUAGAAGGCAUUUUAUUCUACAAAGCAGCAGCUAAAUUUACUGGACACUGAGACAAACAUACCAAGUCCGAGAAGUAAAGGUGAGGCAGUCAACUAUGGUUCUACCAGCUUUCAAACAGUAUGCGCUCCCUAGAAGAUAAUCUCCUGGAACAGUACACGUUACAGAACAAGCAACCAGAGACAGCUAGUCUGAAUUCAUCCAAAUAAAGAAAAGCUUCACAGCACCACCUCAAUGGUUAGUUAAGUCCUCAUUCAAAGAUACUACCUUCACACACCACACAAAUGGAUCCACACAAUGUAUGGGCUGAUACAGACCCUAAAGCUCACUGCUUUUUAGAACAGCUCAAGUUUUAAAAAGAAAACACAGGGGCUUUAAGUUUUUUGUUUUUUCUUUUUAAAGACUGAGAUUUCAUUUAAAAGUUAGAAUUUUGCUAAACUCUUCAGUUUGCAUAUUACUUUUCCCUUUCUGCUCCCUGCCUUGCAUCUAUAAAAACUCUAGUGUUAAAAAUACCCGAGUAACAUUUUCUGAAUAGAAUUCUCAUGGAUCACGGGCACUUGGACUGAAAAGCAGAUUUCAAACAGAAGUCUAGAGAAUGAAAAGUCCAUCCUAGUUGCCAAGAGUGCCUUGAGGGUAGUGGUGUGACACCCAGAAACCAGCAAUUCUGGUAGUUCGGAAAAGCAAUUCAGAGGUGAGGUCCCCAAAAAACUCAUCUUUUUGCCACUUGAUGUAAAAGGAGUAAUGAGCUUUUUCUAUAAUGUAAGAAAAAAAAAUCCCUUAUCCAAUGAGAGCUAAAAUAGUACAUUUUCCUUAAGAGAUCACCUUCUAAGAAGCACGGAAACUUUAAUGCACAGAUUAGUAACAGCGGGUGCUGCUAGCAUCUAAACUGGAGGGAUGCACCUAAUUCCUCUCCACUUCUCUUUCUUCUUGGUGCACAAGAGCUCACAAGCUCCAGCUGAGACUUUCCCACUGCUGGGGGAAGCUCCCUUCUGAACCAGCCCCGCUUAGCAUGAUUUUGGUGCCCUAUAUUAACACUGAGCUCCCAUCACGCCUCUUUCAAAGGCAGCAAUACCCAGAAUACUCCUUCUCUACCCAGCUGCCAAUUUUCAAGAUAGCUAAGUAAACACAUUUUUGAGAUGAUCACCUCUGCCAACUUGUUGCAGUGGUGCAAAAUUUCAGUUCUUUUCUUUCCCUCCCCAGUCCAAAGACAGACACCCAAAACAGUCACGGCAGCAUAUCAACUGUGGUCCACAUUAAAUCACCUUCCUCCAAUCAAGAAAAACACAAUCAUAAUUUUCACUUGACAGCAUGUUUUCAAAGGUAGUUAAACUGCAUCUGAUGUGUAUUUGGACAACUAAUUUUGUUGAUCUUCCCUCGAUACCUUCCAGCAGUGACAGACAAGUCAGCAAUUGUGUGUCGAUUGCUCUGUCAAACUGAAGGAAAAAACAGGACCAAGGAAAUUAGCUCUAUCUAGUACUGGGACCGAGAGCUCUCUGUGUUUAUGUAAGAAAGACAGCAACGCUUGCUCUCCACGAGCUUUCUGGGAAGGAAAUAAAGGUUUGUAAGUAGCACUGAAAUUCUUUCAGCACCAGCAGCAGCCUUCAGUAUUAGCUGAUCAGAUCAUUUUAGUGACCAGCAGAUGCCAAGCAGAGGAAAUUCAAAGUGCUAUCAGUGAUGGUAAGCAAAAUACGUGUAGGGACUUGCAAAAUGAUCGGUACUUUACUGAACUUAGAGCUGAUAACUGCAAGUGUUAGAAAUACAGAAGUCUCUUUAAAUCUCAUGAGGGCAAACAAAACAGCUCCUGUGUGGUAUGAUGCAUGGAACUUACUGAUGCAAAAAAUUGUUUUUAAGUGCUUGAUUACUUAAGAGCAUUUUUCUUCCCAGGUAUCAGAAGAUACAUCAUCUUUUACAUGUAUUUAACUUCCUUUCUAAGCUUUUAAAGACUCAAAUCCUCUCCUGUAGAAUAGCAUUCAGAGCACUUAACUAUCCUUUUCAGAAGAGUACAGAAAUAUAAUAUUAAUGACAAAAGUCAAAUGUGAACAGGCACAGUCCUCAACAGACUCAAGAGAGUCAUUCGUAAGUGUGCAAGAGCAUCUGUGGUAGGAUAUAUGAACACAACCUCUUGAGAAAAGCACGCAUGCCAUAUAUGCAGAGACACAAUGAAAGAUUUAAUCUUUCAGAGAUCUCCUAAAUACUUUCAGUGUUUACUCUGUCACCAUGUCUCCCCAUCUGUUCCACUUUUCUGCUGCCUGGACUAUUUCUUCACCUCUCCCUUUUUCCAGUGAGAAAGAAUUCAGGAAUUCUAAACUUGUUGCUUUAACUCUGAAACCUGUAACAGUGUCUGUGUAGUACAACUCAUUGGUGCAUCCAAAAAAAGGGCCACAGCUCCUAGGUGCCUGCAUCUCCUAUUAGAAGUGUUGGCAAACCAGCUUCUAUACCAAGAUAGCAUGCUACUCGGUGUAUGUUAUAAUUUAUAUAGUGUAUGCGUAUGUGAUACACACUGAUUUACAUUUUUCUUAUAUACUGGAGUACAACAAUGAUUUAGAGUCUCUGUACAUACAGAACAACUUAACUGUUUUUCUAAUCUAUUUAAUUUGAAGCUCAAAGGCAUGUACACAGCAUCCACUUCUGCAUUACCAUAUUUUCUGUCUUCAUGCAAAAAAAACACCAAAUGCAACACCUAAAUUUGGGCAUGCUUUCUUGUUGCAGCGAACAGGCACAACUGCUUAGUCCCAUAGCAGUUGUUUCCUACACACUUCCAUGCUUUUUGCCAUCACCUCAUCAGCCACAGGCUUCCAGGCAAGCCCACAUGCCCACUUUGCUCCCUGUCUCACCUUUCCACACAACUGAGCUCCUGCACCACUCACACCCGCAUUAGAGUAUGACGUUCAGAAUGAACCAAACCCCAGUCCUCAGUACCCCCAGUGGGACACCCUGUCCAUGCGCCUGGCUUCAGCUUCUCAGAGACCAGCAGCCCGGGGACCAGCUCCUGCAGCCUACACCAGAAGCAGAGAUGCAAGGAGCCAGUGUGACUAACUCAGGGAACAAAAAGCAACGAGUUCAAACACUGUCCACAGCAGGAAGAACAUUAUGUGGAGAUCCACGAGAGCUAGUAAGAAUCUCCUGAAUCCUCAUCUAACACAUUUGCUAAGACUGCUGCUAACUCAGAGAUCAAGGAAAAGAAUCUGAGUCCUGAGUUCCAGCAGACAGUAAAUAGAGGCAUUUUUGCAGAGAGCCUAAAUAAAUACCGGUGGACAUGUAUUUAGGCAAGUCAGACUUAGGCUACAUGGAGAUAGUGAGUUUUAUUGCUGCAACUCCUCAUGCAGAGGUAUUUUGACAGGGAAGCUAGAUUUUAAAAAAAGGCACUACUCCCAGUCUGGAGAAUUAGUACUUCUGAGAUUUUCUCCAAAAAUACACUUAAGAUUUUUCUGCAACUACUGCAGUCAGGCACUGUGCAUCCAGGGUUACUUUUCUUUAAGGCAUCUUCAGCUGACACAGGUUACUGAUCCUGCAAAACAUUUGUUCUUGGAAAAGCUGCAGCUGAGAAUUCAGGGCCAUCGCAUCCCUCACUGAUCCCCUGUUCUGGUCUAGCCUCCACACAAGCAGUUACGCAAAGGCAAAACUAGCAGUUUCAUUCCUCCUGGGUUCAGCUGCACACUGAGGAACUAAGUGUGAUUCUCUAUACUUUGCAGCAAUGAACGUUUCCUCGAGAGCAGUCUCACAGUGAGCUGGGUGAGAUGCUCCUUCUCUGCGGUUGUGGGACAGGGAGACACCCAGCAGCACUAACCUACACUCGGUGACAGAAUGAAUGCAGGCAGGUGGUUCCAUGUGGCACUGUAUGAAGUUUGAUCACUUAAAGACAUUUAUGCAACACGCAGUAUGCUUAGACAGGAAUUCCACAAGAGAUGGUAGCUGCCUGAAGUACCCAGAAAAAUGUUUAAAAAAGGGAAUGCUGAAAAAUAUCAAGAACUCUCUUUUUUCGGAUAAAGUACUUUUUAAGGCGGCACAAACACAUCACCCGCCCCUCCUACAGAAAGGGAACCCCUCUGCAAGUUUCAACCAAUCCAAGCCUACAACAAUUCCAAAGCAACGGUUCGGAGCGAGGACGGCAGCCCCGUCCCGCAGCGCACCGCGGGCACGGUGACGGCUGGAAGGCGCCGGCCGCAGGACGGGGAUCGCCGCGGGGAGGGGCGGGCACAACGGCGGCUGCAGGGAGACCCGCUGCCCUUGGCGUGCCUUCCCCAAAAACCACCUGCCUUUGCAGCUACCGCCUAAAAGAACAAAGAAAAAAGCAUCUCUGAAAGCAGCAGCAAGACGGCUAGGUGUGCAUGGGAGAUCUGACUGUUUGGCUAGAGUUGUUAGGAAACGAAAGAUGAAAUGAGGAAGUGAAGCAGAACUAAAGGGGUGGGAAGAAAUGAGAGCAAGUCCUCUCUAGGUCUCGGAGGGGAUUUUCACAACACAGCGCUCUCCUCAGCGUGCGCUUCUGCACAUACAGCCCUCUCACUGCGCGCUGCGAGGGAAAAGAAGAGUGGGAUCCGCUGAGCACUGCCAGAACAACCCGGCACACUCCCGGGCACCCCCGGCCCUCGAUAACGGCAUCAGCCCGCGGCCGCGCUGCUCUCCCGGCCCGGCGCCGGCUCACGGCCGCCCCG